CGCAAGGAAGUAAGAUCCCUGAAAGAUGAUCAGGUUGAUAGGUCUGAGGUGGAAGUGUGGCGACACAUGGAGCUGACAGAUACUAAUCGAUCGAGGACUUAACCUA
rnacentral:rRNA from 1 species